rnacentral:rRNA from 1 species
UCCUGGCUCAGAUUGAACGCUGGCGGCAUGCCUUACACAUGCAAGUCGAACGGCAGCACGGGAGCAAUCCUGGUGGCGAGUGGCGAACGGGUGAGUAAUAUAUCGGAACGUGCCCAGUCGUGGGGGAUAACGUAGCGAAAGCUACGCUAAUACCGCAUACGAUCUAUGGAUGAAAGCGGGGGAUCUUCGGACCUCGCGCCAUUAGAUGAGCCUAGGUCGGAUUAGCUAGUUGGUGAGGUAAUGGCUCACCAAGGCGACGAUCCGUAACUGGUCUGAGGGGAUGAUCAGCCACACUGGGACUGAGACACGGCCCAGACUCCUACGGGAGGCAGCAGUGGGGAAUAUUGGACAAUGGGCGAAAGCCUGAUCCAGCAAUGCCGCGUGAGUGAUGAAGGCCUUCGGGUUGUAAAGCUCUUUUACUCGGGACGAUAAUGACGGUACCGAGAGAAUAAGCCCCGGCUAACUCCGUG